rnacentral:rRNA from 1 species
GAUGAACGCUGGCGGCGUGCCUAAUACAUGCAAGUCGAGCGAACGGACGAGAAGCUUUCUUCUCUGAUGUUAGCGGCGGACGGGUGAGUAACACGUGGAUAACCUACCUAUAAGACUGGGAUAACUUCGGGAAACCGGAGCUAAUACCGGAUAAUAUUUUGAACCGCAUGGUUCAAAAGUGAAAGACGGUCUUGCUGUCACUUAUAGCUGGUUCCGCGCUGCAUUAGCUAGUUGGUAAGGUAACGGCUUACCAAGGCAACGAUGCAUAGCCGACCUGAGAGGGUGAUCGGCCACACUGGAACUGAGACACGGUCCAGACUCCUACGGGAGGCAGCAGUAGGGAAUCUUCGGCAAUGGGCGAAAGCCUGACGGAGCAACGCCGCGUGAGUGAUGAAGGUCUUCGGAUCGUAAAACUCUGUUAUUAGGGAAGAACAUAUGUGUAAGUAACUGUGCACAUCUUGACGGUACCUAAUCAGAAAGCCACGGCUAACUACGUG